rnacentral:rRNA from 1 species
AGCGAACGCUGGCGGCAGGCCUAACACAUGCAAGUCGAACGGAUCCUUCGGGAUUAGUGGCGGACGGGUGAGUAACACGUGGGAACGUGCCCUUUGGUUCGGAACAACUCAGGGAAACUUGAGCUGAUACCGGAUGUGCCCUUCGGGGGAAAGAUUUAUCGCCAUUGGAGCGGCCCGCGUCUGAUUAGCUAGUUGGUGAGGUAACGGCCCACCAAGGCGACGAUCAGUAGCUGGUCUGAGAGGAUGAUCAGCCACACUGGGACUGAGACACGGCCCAGACUCCUACGGGAGGCAGCAGUGGGGAAUCUUGCGCAAUGGGCGAAAGCCUGACGCAGCCAUGCCGCGUGAAUGAUGAAGGUCUUAGGAUUGUAAAAUUCUUUCAGCGGGGACGAUAAUGACGGUACCCGCAGAAGAAGCUCCGGCUAACUUCGUG